rnacentral:rRNA from 1 species
UACGUAGGUGGCAAGCGUUGUCCGGAUUUACUGGGUGUAAAGGGCGUGCAGCCGGGAGUGCAAGUCAGAUGUGAAAUCCCGCGGCUCAACCGCGGAACUGCACUUGAAACUGUGCUUCUUGAGUGCUGGAGAGGCAGACGGAAUUCCUAGUGUAGCGGUGAAAUGCGUAGAUAUCACGAAGAACUCCGAUUGCGAAGGCAGCUCACUGGACUGCAACUGACACUGAGGCUCGAAAGUGUGGGUAUCAAACAGG